UGAACGCUGGCGGCGUGCCUAAUACAUGCAAGUCGAGCGAACAGACGAGGAGCUUGCUCCUCUGACGUUAGCGGCGGACGGGUGAGUAACACGUGGAUAACCCACCUAUAAGACUGGGAUAACUUCGGGAAACCGGAGCUAAUACCGGAUAAUAUAUUUAACCGCAUGGUUUUAUAGUGAAAGACGGUUUUGUUGUCACUUAUAGAUGGAUCCGCGCCGCAUUAGCUAGUUGGUAAGGUAACGGCUUACCAAGGCGACGAUGCGUAGCCGACCUGAGAGGGUGAUCGGCCACACUGGAACUGAGACACGGUCCAGACUCCUACGGGAGGCAGCAGUAGGGAAUCUUCCGCAAUGGGCGAAAGCCUGACGGAGCAACGCCGCGUGAGUGAUGAAGGUCUUCGGAUCGUAAAACUCUGUUAUUAGGGAAGAACAAAUGUGUAAGUAACUAUGCACGUCUUGACGGUACCUAAUCAGAAAGCCACGGCUAACUACGUG
rnacentral:rRNA from 1 species